rnacentral:lncRNA from 10 species
AAUGAAUAAGUGACCUUAGAUGGGAGUUUAUGUGUCUACCAAAGGCACCUGAAGCUAAGGACGGGUACAGUCACCCAAGGAAAGUACGUAGGUCCUGGGGCUGAGGACAGAGUUCUGGGGUGGAGUGAGAACAGACAGAGGAGGCUUCAAAGGAACAAAGAAGCAACAGCCAGGGAGGCAGGAGGAAAGCCAGAAGAGUGUGGCAUCGCAAAGGUAGGAGAGAGUUUCAGGAAGGAAGAGUGGGUCAACAGUGCCAGAGGCUCCUAGCAUGAACAGGACCAGGAAGUUGGAGCUGUGUUUAGCAACUAGGAGGCCACUGUUAACUUUGGCAAGAGCAGGGUCCGUGGAGUGGAGGCUGGAGAAAGGAGGAUGGACCGAACACAGGCGAGGGAAGUGCGCCCGGAGACGGGGAGCUUGCCCUGAAGCACAGAGCACCACUGAGAAGGGACCCGGGCCCUGUCACGCCUCCCCGUCUCAGUAGACACACAGCGCGGAGGGGACGUGCGGAAUACACGUGAUGUCGGGGACAGGAGCGGGCUGAAGAGGGCACGAUCCCACGCGGAGGCCACCCCUCACCCGGGGUAGGAGCCCGCUGCACUUGCUGUCGCUCAGCCCGGGCGCUGCACCACGGCAGCCGCCAUGUUGCUUAAAGCCGGUCAUGUGACGCGGGAGCCAGGGUGGAAGGGGUCCCCGCGGGCAAGCCUUCGACACGUGACCUGCCACCCGACUACGGAAGCCUCUUGGGCGUUCCGCCCGGGCUCACAUGUCAUGUGACGGCCGGCCGGUCGCCGGAGUAACCAGGAACUUUCCCAGACCCUGCGGUCCCUGGAGCGUCAAAAAGAGCGUCCCCGUGACUAGGUGGAGUCGCCUGCCCUUCCGAAUCUCAGCUGUCUUAUCUGGAACCCCCACGUGGCAGACUCCAUCUUCAUCAAACGGGAUAAUGGGGUCUCAAAAGGUUUUGGAAGUAGUAGAUACCUCUAAAAGCCAAGGAGCAGCCCUAGUUCUCGGGAACCAUCCUGUCUUCCUCCCAGGGUCUGGUUGGCGGCUUUUUACUCUCAAUAAAGGAUGGAUGGAUGGAUGGAUAAAUGGAUGGAUGGAGCUUGAGCAGCGCGAUGGAUGGAGGAUUGGAGGGACGGAGGGAUGGACGGACGGACGGAUGGAGCUUGAGCAACGCCCCGCCCUUUGUUGAGAUUCCCCAACCCUGCUAGCCUUGUAAACUCCUGAGCCUUCACCGUGGACACUUAAAUACCUAUUAAAGGAAGCGUCUCCACCCGCCGCUCCUGGAGCAUAUUUUUCCUCACUCCAAUCGGGAUUGGAGCCCUUGCGCCCUCCGGUGGGCUUUUGUAGGGCAGGCAGGAGCUCCUAGCCUAAGGAGACUCCCAGCUGCAGGACUAGGGUCAAAGGGAUAACUUGGGAGUGGUUCUUUAGUGGCACCCUAUAAUCUCCAAGCUACAUCUAAUAAAGCACUCUAAGUAAAA